CCUACGGGUCGCAGCAGUAGGGAAUCUUCGGCAAUGGACGAAAGUCUGACCGAGCAACGCCGCGUGAGUGAAGAAGGUUUUCGGAUCGUAAAACUCUGUUGGUAGAGAAGAACGUUGGUGAGAGUGGAAAGCUCAUCAAGUGACGGUAACUACCCAGAAAGGGACGGCUAACUACGUGCCAGCAGCCGCGGUAAUACGUAGGACCCGAGCGUUGUCCGGAUUUAUUGGGCGUAAAGCGAGCGCAGGUGGUUUAUUAAGUCUGGUGUAAAAGGCAGUGGCUCAACCAUUGUAUGCAUUGCAAACUGGAAGACUUGAGUGCAGGAGAGAAGAGCGGAAUUCCAUGUGUAGCGGUGAAAUGCGUAGAUAUGUGGAGGAACACCGGUGGCGAAAGCGGCUCUCUGGCCUGUAACUGACACUGAGGCUCGAAAGCGUGGGGAGCAAACAGGAUUAGAUACCCUUGUAGUC
rnacentral:rRNA from 1 species